CCAACGAGAGCAGAUGUGGGCUGCUGAGGGAUUGCUGGAGACACCGGACGUUGAUGCCAGCCAGAGGAAAGACAGAGAGAUUUUGUCAUUGUCAGCAGUGGAGGCUCUGCCCGCUGACUUGCUAUGUGGCACUGGAUGAAUAAAUAAAGCCUAGAAGACUAACCAUGUUGCAGAUGAUGGAGAGAGGUUCCCAGAGGAAUAAGAGACCAAGCAGGAGAACAAAAGUUUUGUGUACUGAAGAUGGCAGGAAGAUCCCUGUUCACUGGGCUUCCCCAAUUUCUAUGUUUAGCCUUUGCUAUUUGCACUGAUUUGGCUGUAAAUGCAGAUGAGUUCAUGUCAACAGCAGAGCCAGGAUGCUCUGGGGCAGUUUAAUCUCAGACCUACUUAGCUUAACAAACCAGAUGGAACCCCGUAAUGGGGAGAAUGCAGCAACACACCAUGUCCCACGAUGGUAAAGAGAAUGACCUUUCAUUAGAGAAACAGACCGGGACGAGACAUUACGGCAACCAGUUUAAGUGCUACUAAUAGAGGGUAAUUUAUUUAGGUCUUCAAAUCUCACACCUAAAUUAACCCCAGUUGGCAAUAAUUGAUGCCUUUGCUGGCAAACUCAGCAUGAGCCAAGGACUGAAUGGGCCAUGGAGACUGAACUUCCCAAUUCACGAGCGCAUAGUCCAUCCAGGUCAGGUUUGAAGCCUAUUUCAUGCAAGAACGUUGGUUUGGGAAAGUUGUGCUGCUGUUCCAAGGAUAAUAAUGUUAC